UACGUAGGGUGCGAGCGUUGUCCGGAAUUAUUGGGCGUAAAGAGCUUGUAGGCGGUUUGUCGCGUCUGCUGUGAAAAUCCGGGGCUCAACCCCGGACUUGCAGUGGGUACGGGCAGACUAGAGUGUGGUAGGGGAGACUGGAAUUCCUGGUGUAGCGGUGAGAUGCGCAGAUAUCAGGAAGAACACCUAUGGCGAAGGCAGCACUCUGGGACGGUACUGACGCUGAGACGCGAAAGCGUGGGGAGCGAACAGG
rnacentral:rRNA from 1 species